rnacentral:lncRNA from 1 species
AAAUAUUUGAAUAAUGUUUUUAUUCACAUAAUAAUACUUUUUAUGUAUUAACAUAUUAUAGGAAGAGCUACAAGAAGCAUUUCUUGCUCAUGCAAUAAAGCAGCAGACUGAAGAAUAUUCAGAAGACUUUGAAAGUGAUGAAUACUCAGAAGAGGAAUUUCCUGAACCUGAGGAAAACAUCUCUCCUAAAUCAGCAGUCUUUACAGUAUCACCAUCUAACUUUAAUCUUUGUCACACUUUAAAAAGUGAAAGUGCCGAUGACUUGUCUUCAUCAGAGGAAUAUGAAGGAUCUCAAUAUGGGUCCAUUCUGGAGAGAAAAGUUUUGAGCAAAGAGGGGCAAACGAUUCCCUUUUCACUAACUGAACACCCUGGAUCAUGUACAAGGAGUACAGCAAAACUAUCCAGUCCAUCUGAAAUAUCUUUGUCAAAUCACUAUUCUUUUGGAAAACAAACUGUUGGUAACUUGACAUUAGCAAACUAUGAAGAAAUGCCUCAAGAAGCAACCACAUCAGAAAAUAAACAUUUGAUCAAAGACACUGAAGAUGAUACAGUUAUUGAAGAAAGACCUGAUUGUGAAGACUACGGUCAUAUAGAGGAAACAAUUAGGUAUGAAUUGUCAUUAGAGAAAAAGGACAUGAUCCAGUGUAAAAUGGAAAGCAAGCCAGUGCCAGAGCCAAGGGAGGUCAAGACUACGGCUGCAUCUGCAUCAGGUAAAGGAAAUAUAUUUAAAUAUUAUUGCUUAAAUUGUGUAAUUCCUGGAUUGCUGGAAAUAUUUUAAAACAAAAUAGUUGGAUAAACUGUUUUUUUUCUAUUUAAAGAAAAUUUUAAUUCUUUGAAUAUAUGUAUUUGACAGGGAGAAAAAUCAUUGUCUUUUUAUUUGACAAAGUAAGUUUUGUUUAAUUUGUUUACAAAUUAAAGCAUUGUCAUUUUGCCAUGUGAUAUAAUGUAGGAUUGCUUAUAAGGCUGCAGUAUACAAGCAGUCCUCAACUUACAACAGUUCAUUUAGUGAUCAUUUCAAGUUACAACAGCACUGAAAAAGUGACUUAUGACCAUUUUUCACACUUACGACCAUUGCGGCAUCCCCAUGGUCACAUGAUCAAAAUUCAGACACUUGGCAACUGACUCAUAUUUAUGGCGGUUGCAGUGUCCUGGGAUCAUGAAAUCACCUUUUGCAGCCUUCUGACAAAGUCAGUGGGGAAGUUAGAUUCACU